rnacentral:rRNA from 1 species
GAUGAACGCUGGCGGCGUGCCUAAUACAUGCAAGUCGAGCGAACAGACGAGGAGCUUGCUCCUCUGACGUUAGCGGCGGACGGGUGAGUAACACGUGGAUAACCUACCUAUAAGACUGGGAUAACUUCGGGAAACCGGAGCUAAUACCGUAUAAUAUAUUGCACCGCAUGGUUCAAUAGUGAAAGACGGUUUUGCUGUCACUUAUAGAUGGAUCCCCGCCGCAUUAGCUAGUUGGUAAGUUAACGGCUUACCAAGGCAACGAGGCGUAGCCGACCUGAGAGGGUGAUCGGCCACACUGGAACUGAGACACGGUCCAGACUCCUACGGGAGGCAGCAGUAGGGAAUCUUCCGCAAUGGGCGAAAGCCUGACGGAGCAACGCCGCGUGAGUGAUGAAGGUCUUCGGAUCGUAAAACUCUGUUAUUAGGGAAGAACAAAUGUGUAAGUAACUAUGCACGUCUUGACGGUACCUAAUCAGAAAGCCACGGCUAACUACGUG